rnacentral:rRNA from 1 species
UAGGGAAUCUUCCACAAUGGACGAAAGUCUGAUGGAGCAACGCCGCGUGAGUGAAGAAGGGUUUCGGCUCGUAAAGCUCNGUUGGUAGUGAAGAAAGAUAGAGGUAGUAACUGGUCCUUUAUUUGACGGUAAUUACUUAGAAAGUCACGGCUAACUACGUGCC